rnacentral:rRNA from 1 species
UACGUAGGGGCUAGCGUUGUCCGGAAUCAUUGGGCGUAAAGCGCGUGUAGGCGGCCCGGUAAGUCCGCUGUGAAAGUCGGGGCUCAACCCUCGGAUGCCGGUGGAUACUGUCGGGCUCGAGUCCGGAAGAGGCGAGUGGAAUUCCUGGUGUAGCGGUGAAAUGCGCAGAUAUCAAGGAGGAACACCAAUGGCGAGCAGCUCGCUGGACGUGAGCUGACGCUGAGACGCGAAGCGUGGAGCAACAGG